CUCUCAGUUCGGAUCGAAGUCUGCAACCCGACUUCGUGAAGCUGGAUUCGCUAGUAAUCGCGCAUCAGCCAUGGCGCGGUGAAUACCGUUCCCGGGCCUUGUACACACCGCCCGUCAAGCCAUGAAAGCCGGGGGUACCUGAAGUACGUAACCGCAAGGAGCGUCCUAGGGUAAACUGGUAAUUGGGGCUAAGUCGUAACAAGGUAAC
rnacentral:rRNA from 1 species